GUUGCUCAAACAAAUCCAGCUUUAUUUUUCCCAAGGUUUGGCUCUCUGAGGCUGAGACGUGGGGUUUUUGUUGUUGUUUGCUUUGGGUUUCUUUUCCCCGGGACACUUCUCUCUUGUGUUCCCACUGAGGAAUUUCUUGCCUUGGUUCUGGUUUCUGGGGAAGGCUGAGGAGUUUCCCUUUCUGUUAAGGCAGCUGCAAUGUCCGCAGACAGGAGAUGCUCUCAGCCCACCCCAAGACAUGCUGCAGCAGAGGAAGCCUUCCUUCCAGCUGCCUCAAACAGGAGCUGCAGGAACUCUGUGCAAUUCCUGUUGCAGCCACUGCUUACCCAGAUGCUCACAAGGACAGAGCCCGGCGUUCCUGGACAGGCUGGGUUUCUGAGGGAAGCCACACGCCGCCGAGCACUGUACACUGUGGGCAAAGCCACUUCCCAUGGGCAGCUGGGCUGGACAACGCCAGUUUUACACCGAGAUUGUAAUUUCCCAACCACAGAGACGCUUGGGAGGGUGGAGAAAGGAGUCCUGUGGUGGGAAGCCCCGGCUGCUUCGGUGCGUCUGGGAUUCCUGGCCUGAGGUUCCCCAACACCACCCGAGGGCUGGGCAGCAUCGGGGCUUUCCAGCUCAGGAAGGCUCCUGGGAUGCAGGGAAGUGGUCUGUUCCCAAAGUGACCUGGAAACUAAAACAUCGUACAAACAGGGGCUGACACAAAAGUGAAAACUGGGGAGGAAACCAUUGCUUUUUAUAUUUUCUAUUUCAUUUUGUUCUCCUAUUAUUUUCUGCUUUUAAAGAACAACAACAACUAAAUAGACAUUAAACAGACUCAUUUUCAUAUUAAUGAAAAAAAAAAACCCACCAAAAAUAUACCAAGUGCAGGCACAGGACAGUGUGAAUGUUGACAAGCUGGUUCUAGCUCAUGAACUCUGCAGAAUACAUUUGUUGAAACCAACAGUCCUUUUUGAACAUUUAUA